UGGAGGAGGAGGUGGCGGUGGAUCUGGAGGAGCAGAGGCUCAAGCGGAAGCGCGAGCAGUACGAGCUCAUCGACAAGAGCUACGAGGAGGCCCACCUCGACGCUCAAGAAGUGCAGGACGAGGCCGUUGAGUUCGACGAGGAGGUCGAUGACGAGCUCUCGGAGGUACUACUCUGUUCUGUUCUAUUCUCCUACUCUGUUUUUGGGGUUUUCUCCCUUGGGGUUUUCUCCUGAAUUGCAUGCAGCACGGAUUAGAUUUCGUCCAGAUAGGUUAUGUUUCUUGAUCUCUCCCUUAGGGUUAGGAUUAGUACUAGUUGUUUCGUACAUUUGGAAGGAAACCCCUUCAAUCUGAAACCUGGCAUGGAACAGUAGUCAUGUAGGCCUAAAAUCCCCAUGUGCGUGCAACAGUAGUCAUAAUCAGUUCUGCUAUAGAAAACGGUGUAUUUUUAGGUAUCACCUCUUUGAUUCGUACGAUUUCCAAAACGCAGGAAUAGGGAAAGCGUGGGAUUAGAGUGGCAUGUCAUCUUGAAUCCUACAGGAUUGUAUGAGUGUUUGAUUGUGCAUACUAAAAACGUAGGAUUCUUUCAGACAGGUCUGAGUGGAUGGAAAAUUUCCUACAAAUUUGUUUAUUUAAUGACAGUCAAUAAGAGGAUCAAUGAUUAAUAUCUAGAACAUGAAAAGUUGACAUGCAACAGUAAAUAUUUAUCAACAUUGCUUGAGCUUCUAUAAAUGGUAACUUUUUAAACAUGUACUCUGGAAACAACUUUGAAUAUUUGCUGUUGGAUGAAGCCAAUCCAACGGUGGACAGAUGGGAAAUCCCAGCAUUUUUGGCCAUUCAAUAUCUUAUUUACUACAAAAGAAAAAUUCCAAGCAUGCGUACUAUAUAGAAUAUUCCAUUUGUAAGCUCAAGCAUUAUGCUACCUAUGCACAAACAACCACAUAGCACUAUGUUUCUCCUGGUAGUACAACCCCUGUUUAAAUGAGUACAACCCCUGUUACAACUAUGCUCUGUUCCUCAAUUGUGCAACCCAUUAUCUGGUUUUGCUAUUCAUGAAAAUAUGCUCCAUUCUUCAAUAGUGGCAACCCAUUAUCUGGUUUUGGUAUGCGUGAAACUGGGCCACAUCUUCGAGUCAUGCAUCUGGUCAGUACUGAUGCAUGCAGUAACAAUUUACGGCCACUGUCUGCCAUUAACAACAAACAUGGAUUAGUUCUUCUCUUACACAAAUCAAUCCAUGAAACUAUGCCACAUCAGUAAUCAUGCAUGCCAAGUCCAUGCAACAGUACAUUUCUAGCAACAAGAUUUUCUAUUGCAUUCUUACUAUAUAGAAUUUUCCAUUACUAAGCGUAAUCAUAAUGCUCCAUAUGCACAAAGCUGAUACCACAUUUUCUCCUUUCUUAUAGAAUCUUUCUUACCUUAACAGUGCAAAAAAUUUCUAUCUGCUUCAUGAUUUCCAUAUAAUGAAGUGGACUAUGCAUCUUAUUUUCAAUCUGAUUACCAAAUCUGUUGAGACCUAGUAAACAGUACAUUUAUUUAGUUGUCAGAAAAACUGGUUUAUUUUAUGAAAAUCAUGAAGCCAUACAGCUAUAUUGUGAAGACAUUUUCUAAUUGUAGUCAGUAAUUCAUUGCAGAGUUUCUUAUGUACGCACCCUAUGUAAUUAUUACCAACAAGGAUGAGUAAUUAAAGCCAUAAUUUCUUAUGUUCGCAACCGAUGUACCUCAAUCCAAAAUUUCUCUUUUUUAUACAUAAUUCAUGACCUCAUUCAUAUGUUUUGUUGUCUUCAAAAUAUCAAGUGAGGGCAAUCUUUUGUUUGUUGAUGCGGUAGUUUUACUUUGUAGUAUGUACUCAUCUAGUUUGAAUAUCAUUAAAUUAGAUAUUUUCUAUUAUCUCUUUAUGAUAAAACCAGAUCAUACAACAUAUUGUUGCAAGAAAUGGCAAGAAAUGAUCAUGUUUUUGGAAUUAUCUAUUUUCAGUAUGAACUAAAAUAUGUGCUUGAAUGCAGUAAAGUGAUUUGUUCAUACCGUAAAACCUGAACACUUUAGUUAAUUGUCAACUUAGAUUGUACAAAUAGGAGUACUUUAGAGGGGAGAACAGCUACGCAUGCAAAGCAAAGAAAAAAGAACAAGAAAGAUAACUAAUAAUACAUAAACAUAUAUUGCAAUACAUGAGGUACAUGUUGUGUGAAUCAUUUGAUUGAUCAUAUUUUUGUAUUCCUACUUUAGGAAUGUACUUGAUACUCUUACGAAAUGCUACAUUUCUAUAUUCCUAAUCUGACAUAGCUGUCGAUCAACUAACACACAGGAAGAUGACGAAGACGUGGAUGAUAGUAAGGAGAGCAGGGACAGCAAGAGCCGCUACGUCCCCAGGAGGCUGCGGAAUGGGGAAAUCCCAUACCGCAGCGGAUACAACAGGCUCUACGGCAACAUAGCCUGCCCCUUCUGCUGCGCGAUUAUCAAGAGCGACUACAACAGCCUGAUCAUCCAUGGCACCUAUAUCGGCCGUGGUAAUGGGAGGAACCGCAAGCCCCACGUCCGGGCUAAACAUGCCGCUUUUGGUGCCUUCCUCAGGAAGUACGCGAAGGGGCAUCUGCCAUUCUACCUCCCGAGGCCUCCUCGUCCGGCCAAGAUGCUGAGGAUCUGAUGCGCUGCUUGGUUGUUACUGCUGGCCCACCCUAGUUAAGACUGUUUUUAUGUUAUGGUUGUCGUGUGAUACUUCUGCCCUACCGUACUGCUUGAACUUAUGCGCCG
rnacentral:lncRNA from 1 species